rnacentral:rRNA from 1 species
CCUACGGGAGGCAGCAGUAAGGAAUAUUGGUCAAUGGACGCAAGUCUGAACCAGCCAUGCCGCGUGAAGGAUGAAGGUCCUCUGGAUUGUAAACUUCUUUUAUCUGGGACGAAACCCAUCUUUUCUAAGGUGAUUGACGGUACCAGAGGAAUAAGCACCGGCUAACUCCGUGCCAGCAGCCGCGGUAAUACGGAGGGUGCAAGCGUUAUCCGGAUUCACUGGGUUUAAAGGGUGCGUAGGUGGGUUGCCAAGUCCGUGGUGAAAUCUCCGAGCUUAACUCGGAAACUGCCAUGGAUACUGGUAGUCUUGAAUUAUCUGGAGGUCAGCGGAAUAUGUCAUGUAGCGGUGAAAUGCUUAGAUAUGACAUAGAACACCAAUUGCGAAGGCAGCUGACUACGGGUAUAUUGACACUGAGGCACGAAAGCGUGGGGAUCAAACAGGAUUAGAUACCCUGGUAGUCCACGCCCUAAACUAUGGAUACUCGACAUUUGUGUAUACACAAUAAGUAGUCUGAGAGAAGACGAUUAAGUAGUACCACCGUAACGGUAAGGUAACGUUACCGACGUAAGGUUAGUUAAACGUAACGAAGUUAGAGUUAGACGGGCGUUGAGACGUUACGCCGACGGACGACCGACCGAGGGGAGGUUAGGGAGG